rnacentral:rRNA from 14 species
GUGAGUGGCAGACGGGUGAGUAACGCGUGGGAACAUGCCCUUUGGUUUGGAAUAACUCAGGGAAACUUGAGCUAAUACCGGAUAAGCCCCGCAAGGGGGAAAGAUUUAUCGCCGAAGGAUUGGCCCGCGUCCGAUUAGCUAGUUGGUGUGGUAAUGGCGCACCAAGGCGACGAUCGGUAGCUGGUCUGAGAGGAUGAUC